rnacentral:rRNA from 1 species
UACGUAGGGUGCGAGCGUUAAUCGGAAUUACUGGGCGUAAAGCGUGCGCAGGCGGUUGUGCAAGACAGAUGUGAAAUCCCCGGGCUUAACCUGGGAACUGCAUUUGUGACUGCACGGCUGGAGUGCGGCAGAGGGGGAUGGAAUUCCGCGUGUAGCAGUGAAAUGCGUAGAUAUGCGGAGGAACACCGAUGGCGAAGGCAAUCCUCUGGGCCUGCACUGACGCUCAUGCACGAAAGCGUGGGGAGCAAACAGG